rnacentral:rRNA from 1 species
CUACGGGAGGCUGCAGUGAGGAAUUUUGCGCAAUGGGGGAAACCCUGACGCAGCAACGCCGCGUGAGUGAAGAAGGCUUUCGGGUUGUAAAGCUCUGUCAAGUGGGAAAAAAAUCUCGUUUUUAAUAGAUUCGAGGUCUGAUGGUACCACUGGAGGAAGCACCGGCUAACUCCGUGCCAGCAGCCGCGGUAAUACGGAGGGUGCAAGCGUUGUUCGGAAUUACUGGGCGUAAAGCGCGUGCAGGCGGUUUGGCAAGUCAGAUGUGAAAGCCCUGGGCUUAACCCAGGAAGUGCAUUUGAAACUGCCUUUCUUGAGUAUGGGAGAGGAGAGUGGAAUUCCCAGUGUAGAGGUGAAAUUCGUAGAUAUUGGGAGGAACACCCGUGGCGAAGGCGACUCUCUGGACCAAUACUGACGCUGAGACGCGAAAGCGUGGGGAGCAAACAGGAUUAGAUACCCGCGUAGUC